rnacentral:rRNA from 1 species
GGUCAAGAAGAGAAGCGCAAACGGUGGAUGCCUUGGCAGUAAGAGGCGAUGAAGGACGUGGAAUCCUGCGAAAAGCUUUGGUGAGCUGGAAACGAGCGAUGAGCCGAAGAUGUCCGAAUGGGGGAACCCGGCUAUGCGUGAGCAUAGUCAUCUAUAGCUGAAUACAUAGGUUAUAGAGGCGAACUCGGGGAACUGAAACAUCUAAGUACCCGAAGGAAAAGAAAUCAAAAGAGAUUCUCCAAGUAGCGGCGAGCGAACGGGGAGGAGCCUGGCGUGAUUUAUGAUACGAAAGAAUAGAACAACUUGGGAAGGUUGGCCAUAGAGGGUGAAAGCCCCGUAUAUAAAG